CCUACGGGAGGCAGCAGUGGGGAAUAUUGGACAAUGGGGGGAACCCUGAUCCAGCCAUGCCGCGUGUGUGAAGAAGGCCCUCGGGUUGUAAAGCACUUUCAGUGAGGAAGAACGCCUGGUGGUUAAUACCCAUCAGGAAAGACAUCACUCACAGAAGAAGCACCGGCUAACUCCGUGCCAGCAGCCGCGGUAAUACGGAGGGUGCGAGCGUUAAUCGGAAUUACUGGGCGUAAAGCGCGCGUAGGUGGCUUGAUAAGCCGGUUGUGAAAGCCCCGGGCUCAACCUGGGAACGGCAUCCGGAACUGUCAAGCUAGAGUGCAGGAGAGGAAGGUAGAAUUCCCGGUGUAGUGGUGAAAUGCGUAGAGAUCGGGAGGAAUACCAGUGGCGAAGGCGGCCUUCUGGACUGACACUGACACUGAGGUGCGAAAGCGUGGGUAGCAAACAGGAUUAGAUACCCGAGUAGUC
rnacentral:rRNA from 1 species